CGGGGUGCAGCAGGCGCGAAACCUUUACAAUGCACGCAAGUGUGAUAAGGGGACCCUCAGUGCUCAUGUAUAACAUGGGCUUUUGCCAAGCGUAAAUAGCUUGGCGAAUAAGUGGUGGGUAAGACUGGUGCCAGCCGCCGCGGUAACACCAGCGCCACGAGUGGCAACCACGUUUAUUGGGCCUAAAGCGUCCGUAGUCGGUUUGGUAAAUCUCUUGUGAAAUUGUCGGGCUUAACCCGACAGCAUGCUCGAGACACUGCCUUACUUGAGACCNGGAGGAGUGAGAGGUAUUCCUGAGGGAGCGGUAAAAUGUGAUAAUCUCAGGAGGAUCACCUAUGGCGAAGGCAUCUCACCAGAACGGAUCUGACGAUCAGGGACGAAAGCUAUGGGGAGCGAUCCGGAUUAGAUACCCGAGUAGUCCUANGCAUGUAAACGCUGCNAUUCUANGAUUAUUGGAUCUUCCUUAACGACCACUUUAUCAUUUGUCGAACUAGAACCCCCNNAAAUCUCUCCGCCCU
rnacentral:rRNA from 1 species